rnacentral:rRNA from 1 species
UACGUAGGGUCCGAGCGUUGUCCGGAAUUACUGGGCGUAAAGCGCACGUAGGCGGCUUUGUAAGUUAGAGGUGAAAGCCCGGGGCUCAACUCCGGAAUUGCCUUUAAGACUGCAUCGCUAGAAUUGUGGAGAGGUAAGUGGAAUUCCGAGUGUAGAGGUGAAAUUCGUAGAUAUUCGGAAGAACACCAGUGGCGAAGGCGACUUACUGGACACAUAUUGACGCUGAGGUGCGAAAGCGUGGGGAGCAAACAGG